UACGUAGGUGGCAAGCGUUUGUCCGGAUUUACUGGGCGUAAAGAGCGCGCAGGCGGUCGUUCAAGUCGCGUGUGAAAGCCCCCGGCUCAACUGGGGAGGGUCACGCGAUACUGAUCGACUCGAAGGCAGGAGAGGGUAGUGGAAUUCCCGGUGUAGUGGUGAAAUGCGUAGAUAUCGGGAGGAACACCAGUGGCGAAGGCGACUACCUGGCCUGUUCUUGACGCUGAGGCGCGAAAGCUAGGGGAGCAACGGGG
rnacentral:rRNA from 1 species